UAGCACCCGCUGUUCCGCUGCCACCCUCGCAGCCGCUAAGCUUUUCCCCCACUUGGGGGGAGGGGGCGGCCAGGUAACUGUUUUCAUCUGUCCGGUAAUACCAACUGGCCCACCGUCUGCACCCAAACCAAGUAAGUGGCCAGUCCUCUCUCACUUCUCAUCACGUCUGACUGGGCAGCAAGAAGCCCGAGGAUGGGUGUGUCUCGCCCCUGACCAGGAGGGGCGCAGGGGUCAGCGCAGGGGUCAGCAGUCAGAGCCCUGGGGAACGCCCCCAAUGGGCCCCACGUGUCUUCCCCGAGUGGAGCUGGGCCUGCUGAGGAAGGUCGUGCAGGAGAGAACGCCCUCCUGCUGGGGGCGGCAUCGCCACAGGCACAGCCUGCCAGCCCGCGGCCCCACAGCCCCUCGGCCUCCUUUCCUGAAAACGCCAGCACUGAGGCAUGAAUCUGUCAGUGAAAGGCAUGUGGAUCUUCCUAAACAGACAGGAGUUCCAAGGCAUUGAAAAGAAUUAUAAAAAUAUAUACAUAUUUUUUUUAUUCUGGCAUAUUCCAUAUUUUUAAGAAAGCAAUUAGUAACCAUCUGGCCUUGGGUAAGAACUGGACGAUUGUGGGCUUAAAAAUUACAAAUUUAUGUAAAAUAUAAGUGGGGAAACCUCUAAUUUUCCAUUCAAAGUUCUGGUAAUUUUAAAUACUUUCCAAAAAUAGAGACAAUCUCCAGCGGUUUAAACAAUGGCUGUAGAAAUGAA